rnacentral:rRNA from 1 species
CCUACGGGAGGCAGCAGUGGGGAAUAUUGCACAAUGGGCGAAAGCCUGAUGCAGCAACGCCGCGUGAGCGAUGAAGGUCUUCGGAUCGGAAACCUCUGUCAGCAUGGGAGAACGGUCACUGUGCUAAUCAGCAGUGAAUUGACGGUACCUGCAAAGGAAGCACAGGCUAACUCCGUGCCAGCAGCCGCGGUAAUACGGAGGGUGCGAGCGUUAAUCGGAUUUACUGGGCGUAAAGGGCUCGUAGGUGGUAUGUCAAGUCAAGGGUGAAAUCCCCGGGCUCAACGUGGGAACUGCCUUUGAAACUGGCAAACUGGAGUGUGUGAGAGGAUAGUGGAAUUCCAGGUGUAGGAGUGAAAUCCGUAGAUAUCUGGAGGAACAUCAGUGGCGAAGGCGACUAUCUGGCACAUAACUGACGCUGAGGAGCGAAAGCGUGGGUAGCAAACAGGAUUAGAUACCCGGGUAGUC